GUCUACGGCCAUACCACCCUGAACGCGCCCGAUCUCGUCUGAUCUCGGAAGCUAAGCAGGGUCGGGCCUGGUUAGUACUUGGAUGGGAGAAUGGAAAACACUGAGUUGAAUAGAUU
rnacentral:rRNA from 1 species